CUCACGUGCUUUCGUACUCUUGUACGACGCUAUUACGGAUCUCAUGGAUUUUUAUAAACGGGCGAACGUAUCGACGAAAUGAUCUUUUAUUUGCGAUACGGAGUUAAAUGCGUUGUCAUGUAGAUUCUAGUAGAAAUCUGAUAGUCAAAACUAGAGAAUAAUUAAGAAUCAAUUUCGCGAUUAAUUAAGAAUUUCUUUCGGCUUUAUCAAGUAGGCCGCGUAUAUAAAUCUAUAGGUAUACGUAGACGUGUAUACGGUCUAUGCCGAUCGAUUUAGGCUUACGUAUAUAUAUAUACUAUAUCGUUGAUAGUGAUAAUGUACGAUAAAGCCAACAAUUACGAGGGCGUAUAAACGAUAAACGUGAACACGACGGAGAUACGUGUGCGUUUGGUUCUUCGUAUUCGCUCGCGCGUGCUCGCCACGAAUCCCCGGUCAGACACGAUUUACAUACCAAUUAAAGCGUUCCCUGCCUACCCGAGGCUGAACGCCGUAAUAAAAUCUACGGAGCACCGAGUGAGCACAUAAUAAGUCAUUUGCAUAAGCCACUCCAACUCGGGCUUAAUAUUCGCUGGAAUCUCAUCGAACGAACAAACCUUUUCCUUAUCCGUUCAUUCCGUUCCCUGUGUUUACUUCCGAGAACGCGCUUCGUAUAGCAUCGAUACUCCUUUUUAAUUUUCUAAUCGAUAAACGAGAGAUCGUCGUAUUCUAAGAUCACGGGACGUUUGCAUGACAAAAAUGAUGUUUUUCUAAGCGAUUCGACUGUGAAAGGACGGCAGCCUUGGGAAAUAAACGGCGCUUAUGCACCGAGAAAAUUUAUGGUAAAUACGUCUACGUUCUUCGAUGGAAGAUGAGGAGGGGUGGAUAGGGGAUUAAGGUUUUCCGAGGGACGAUUUACGGGUGGUAAUAGCAUGCGAGAGGAUCCCAAGGCUCGUUCAUGUAUCAUUCAUGGGACGGCAUCGGUAGGUUACCUGCUUCGACAAAACGCAAAGUCGCACGUUUAAGCGUUUCUUCGGUAGUCGACCAUUUCUGGACCAUUUCUAUGGACUUGAAAAACAUAUGUCGCCUUGACCGUGUCUCGUUUAAGCGAACUUUCAUUUCGUUAAUUAAAGUCAUCUAGACAUUCCUUGAUCCAACUUAGAACAACGGCUGUUAGAGAAGGACAAUAAAACAGUCACUAAAUCGGAUCUCGAUUGUGAGCUUCCCAGGUCUGGAAUAGGUUCGGGACACUUUCAAAGUUACUUUUAGAAUCGCUCUAACCUCUCUAAUUUACGGUGGUGCACCGCCUCGAGGGGAAUUAAAUAUGUCCCGAAGACCGAAAUCCGUUUCUGAGGAGAGCGGUGGGUACACACGGCGGUAACUUUCCGAUAAGCCGAUGGCUGCUUUAACUUUUCUUUGACCGAAAGAUUGAAUUUCGUUUUCCCUCUCCUUCUCGAUCUAUCUCAUCCUUUUCCCGCUCUUUUUCGUUUUCUUUUUUCGAAUUUAACGAAGUCCCUCGAAAGUUUCACUGAAAGGUAUACGGCCAUUGUUACACCGGCACUCAGCGAAAUUUUCUCGAAAAUCGUGCUGGAUGGCGAACUCGUGUCAUUCACGAGGAACGUAAAGGAACGAGUAAAGAAAUAAGAUAAAAAGGAACAAAAGCUUUGCUUCGUGGCAUAGAAAACGAAUAGCUAGUCGAAAAAACUAUUAUGUGUAUCUCCUGUAUCUUAUUUUGUAAACAAUCUCUUCCUGUUUUUUUUUUCACUCAUCCUUUAUUUUUUCUUACUAUCGAUACAAUUUUCUAAUAUAUUCUUAAAUUCGCGUCAUAUGCAAACUUUGAAGAUCUUUCGACAUUGAUUUUUCUCUUCAUUUUCCUACUUCUCUUUGAUCGAUCUAUCUAGCGUUCGUUUAUAAUGUAUAAAAGGUAUUUAACUACACUAAGAAUGAAUACAUUACAAUUGUCAACCUCUGUACUUUGUCGUAAUAAACCUCUGCUUUUUACGAAACGACGAUCCUUAAUUGUCUCUUUAAAGUAAUACUCUAAAUCCAGUACUUGAUCUCGAGGGAUUGAGUUGAAUCGGGCAAUUCUGAUACCAGAAGUGGAAUCGCAUUCGUGUAAAGCAAUAAAAUUAGUAUUUGAUUCCUAUUGGUACUGUCGAGCGAGUGUUUGUGUAUCAAGAAUUUGGGUGUUUUCAUCGAGGUGUAGAAGAAAUAGAAAUUUAGAAGAAAUAAAAUACAAUAGACUACAAUGAAAAGAAUGAUUUUGCUCUAAAUAGAAAGCUAUUGACAUUAAUCGUACUCGUUGUUAACUCUUUGACGAUGAUUAUUUGUAAACUUCACUUUGAAAGAUAAUUCUAUUUCGUCUAUAAUCAUAAUUAAUACGAUAAGUAUGGAAAAAUUCAUUAUGGACAUGCAAAAAAUGAAAGAAGUGAAAGAAGUCAUCUUGAUAUUCGCGACUAAAGUAAUUUCGAUUUGAAAAGAUAAAAACUUGUAGAGGAAAAGGACGUCAGUUCCGCAAUGACUGAAGUUAGAAAUAUAAUCGAUAGAAUCGAGCAUGAAAAUGAAGAUAGGAAACGAUUAGCCAUCGAGGAUAAAUUUCGAAGAAGAAGAAAGAAUUUCAAGAUUUUAGCGAAGUGUAGUUAAGCAUUAAUCGGAUUUUGAUAAAUAGUCUAAAUCAUUUUUAUCACGAAUAGAAAGAAAUGUAACAAGAAUAGCAUACGGGGCUUGCGAAACUAAAAAGAUCACAUAAAAUUCAUCCUAAUUAAAAAAGGCUACUUGAUUACACAUAUGAGAGAUACGUAAACGUAUUUAUUAUAAAUUUAUGAUUACGUUAAUAUGGGAAUUAACGUAUAGCGUACACAAUUCGAAGGAUACAAAUCUUUAGAUGUAAUGCAGACAAAAAUAAGCUUUUGUUUUCAAAAACUACAGGAAACCAUCUUAGAUAAUAAUAAAUGAUUUAUGAACUAUCGACAGAUUGCUAUCGAACGGGCUACUAUACACUAGUAAUAAAAUUAAUUUAACAGCCGAUCAUAAGCGUAAUUCACUCAUGGACGAAAGACAGAUAAGGCUAAAUUUAUAGCUACGUGGAUUAGGAGAUGAUUACUGAUAAUCGACUUGUGACACUGAAAGAAGCUCAAGAUUUGACACUUAAAGAUAAAUGUAUCGUCCAAUAAGAUUUUCCUAUGAAAUCGUAUUUCAUUAUCGAACAUCACACAGAUGGCACUAUCUUCCAUUCGAGUUAAACAUCAAGUAGGGAGGACCUGAGGAUAAUAAACGUAUCUAUAAACAGGCCCAACAGGCUUAUAAUAUCCACAUCGUCCCCUGUAAGAUGUUAUCGAUGCAAUGGAUCAAACCAUUUCACGCGCAACUGCCCAAAUUUUCUCAAAGUUUCGAACGCGACACGACCACUGACAAAUCCUCAAGAUAAGUUAUAUAGAAUCGAUGGAGCAAGAGCAGUCGAACUUAUUAUACGCAUACUUGGUAAACCUGUUAGAUUCUUGGCAGACACCAAUGUCGGGAUUAACGUCAUCAAACGACUCUACAUCGAUGGACACAAAAUCAGCAGGAAUGUCAGGAAGCUCACAGGAAUAAGCCAUUUAAUUUUAACAACAACGGAAAAUUGUGAAAUAGAUUGCGACAUACGUACCUACAUAUUUGCAAUAGUAGGAUAACUUUCCGAUUGAACAAGAUGGCGUAAUAGGACAAUCCUUCCUGCGCGAUGAGAAUUCUCUAGUAGAUGUGAGACGAAGGACUAUAAUAUUCCUAGGCGAGUUCAUCGUCCAUUGAUAAAAUUCUCUACUUUCAUCAUGACUAUAGGCGCAUAAAAUUAUUAAAAGAAAAUACGUUAUUGCAAUAUAUAUUCUGUUUGAAAAUUAUCGUCAUUCCGUGUGAUCGAUAAUAUCGAGAUAGUGUAAUGAUCGUUUCUAUCUAUCCAGAGAACCAUUACCUAAAACCAAUUUAGUUCUCCACAAAAUUGAAUUGAUCGAGGACAAGGUCAUAAACCAAAAACAAUACAGAUAAUCUGCCGAUGCAUCGAGAAGAAAUCAAGCGCGAAGUAUGGGAUAUGUUAGAGGAGAUACGUAAAAUAUAAAACUGUCAAAUUCACUAUUUAAUUUCUCGCUGUGUGUGUAGUUAUAAAGAAGUAAGACGUUUUGGGAAAAAAUAAACGGUGCAUCGUUAUAGAUUUCAAUUUUUU